rnacentral:rRNA from 1 species
UGGCGGAACAGCAACUUGGGAGAUGUAUAGUCCUCUUAUGAGGCUAGUUAUGUUUGAGACAUAAGUAUAAUAGAUGAGAUUCUUAUAUAAACAUAAAACCAACUACGUUGGCUAAAGUUCUAGAUAGAAUACUGAUUGUGACAAUUUUCUAUCUACUUGUCUUGACCAAAUUACGUGCCAGCAGUCGCGGUAAUACGUAAAAGACUAGUGUUAUCCAUCUUUAAUAGGUUUAAAGGGUACCUAGACGGCGAGUAUUAACCUUAAAUACGGAUAUAAUUCGAGCUAGAGUUUGAUAAGAGGAGGGGAGUAUUUUCGGAGUAGAGAUAAAAUUCAUUGAUACCCUAAGGACUGGCAAUGGCGAAAGCGACCUUUUAUGUAAAAACUGACGUUGAGGGACGGAGGCUUGGAUAGCGAACAGGAUUAGAUACCCUAGUAGUCUUUGCAGAGAAUGAUGAAUGCCAUAGACUAGAUAUUUUUAGUUUAUAAAUGAAAGUGUAAGCAUUCCACCUCAAGAGUAAUGUGGCAACGCAGGAACUGAAAUCAUUAGACCGUUUCUGAGAACAGUAGUGAAGUAUGUUAUUUAAUUCGGUAAUCCUCGAAAAACCUUACCACAACUUGAAUAUCAUCAUGCCACUAUGAAGUAGAAAACAAGGAAUUAAGCUUUUUUUUCCAAAAGUAGAAAAGGUAAAAGUAUAAAUAGAUGUGCCCUUUACAUCUGUAAAUGGUAUUUCGUGUUUAUACGUUUAUCAGGGUGAUGUUACAUACGUUGCACGGUUGUCUUCAGCUAAUGUCGUGAGAUUUUGGUUAGUUCCAUAAAAUUAGCGUAAACCCCGGCUUUAUUUUUAAAUUAUUAACAUAAAGCAGUUCAUCACUAUAUUGAAUACAUGAUAACAGGGAUCAAGACAAUUCCCUUCCUGGG